AAUGGUGGGAGGGAAGGAGAAAUUUGCGGAAAGGCAGAAAAGGUCUGAGGGGAGUAGAUGUGACAGGAGGCAAAAGGGAGUAACAUGAGAGGGGGGGAGGGAGGGAGGGAGGGUGUGGAGGAUUUCUUUCUGGGACGGCUGAGGCACUGAAAUGCUGCAGUGAAGCCACAUGGCUAAGAUCACUGCCACGCAUGCACACACAGCGGACACACUCGCACACACAGAAGGUCGUAACCUUUCCUCUACCAUACCAACAUCAUCUUCCUGGAUGGGACACGACCCCCCCACCACACACACAUACACACACACACACACCGUCUGAUUAACCUUCCUAUCACCCAACGUUUCGGCCCGCUCCAUCCUCUCCUCUCCCUCCCUCCCUCCCUCCCUCUCCCCCUUUCAUCCUCUCUCUCUUUGCAGCAGCCGGUGAGUGAGCACAUUUCAGAGAACAUCCUGAGUGGCCCUGUCUCAGGCUCAUCUUCAGUUGUGUCACCAUCCGAGCAUCUUCUCUCUAUUUUACUCUUCUCACCAUGACUCUUUUUUACCCUUGUCUUGGGUUCACCAUCUCAACCGUGUUGUCUUUCUGUGGUUUCCACGUCUUCUUUAACCGCGCUGGUCGUCCCAUCUGACAUUUGGUCUGGAACAAGAUAAAAUACGAAGUCUGUUUUUAGCAUGUGACCAAGCCAUACUGCUGAGCCAAUGUCUAGCUUGGAUUUCAUUACCAUGACAAUGGGGCUGCGCUAGAACUUUGCGACUGGUGAGUCUUUUCUACCUCUCCUCAUUUUGACUUGUUAAUUGUUCUUCUACAAAUUGCAACGGUAUUUCCAACCAUAAAGUGUGAAAUGAAAUGAUUAAGUAGAUUUUCUAUUAAAUACCUUGUUCUCAAAAUGUGCAAAUGAGCAAUUCAUUUUUCUUUUCCAAAUUACAAUAUCACCAUUCAUGUGUCUGCUGCAUGCGCCAUGUGUAAUUCGGCAGUUUUAACUCAUAUAAUAUCCUUUCAUUAAAGUCAUUAAAAAUGUAUCUGUAAGAUUUUGAUUGGAAUGAAAUCUUUACAUCAGACAAAUAUGAUGAAAUACUUUAUUGGUGACUUUUUUCAACAUUCACGGUGCUUAAAUUAAGGAUACAUCCUUAGCAUACAAUCACCAUGCCAUGUUCUGAUUACAAAUCUACACGUUCCAGUAAACAAUUUACGUAACUUUUUAUAUGCUUUUCUCCUUUAUAGCUUGUUUUACAUGCUCUCAAAUAUAAUAUGAU